AAGAGCUGAUCGUACGAUGAGAGAAAACUUCCUUCAAAGAUACCCCAUUCACUCCUUCAGAGUUCUAACCUAACUUAGAUCGAGAUCUGGAGGUUUCUCCCCUCAUCUCUCUCUCUCUCCACACCCAAAAGCUCGGUUCUCAUACUCAUUUACUCAGUUUUGAGUUUAGAAAAUUGAAACCAAAAGCUUAUCGAUCUCUUUCUCUUCCUUGUUCCACCAACCACUCAUAUCGGUUCUCUCACCUCCUCUUCCUCCCAAAAUCACUAAAAUUUGUUUCUCUGGAGCGAUCCAUCCUUCCCCAAUAGCAGAUUAUGUGGUCCAAAUUAAUUAGAGUAUUUGAAUCUAGGGUUAGACGUAAGGGGAUGUUUAUUUUGGAGACAAAGGUGGGCUGAUCUAUGUGCGUUUGGCAACUCUGGUAGAGAUCCAUGUUGGUCAGAUUGCAAACGGAAUCUUCUUUUGAAUUGUUUCAUGGGCGAAGAAGUUCUUGUGCUGGCCACACCUACCUAUGAUUUUGGCAGGAGUUUAGCUUGCAUGGAAGCCUCGGAUGGCCGUCUCUCUGAUCAUUUUCUCACCUAUUCCACCUUUGAAUAUGAAGGGAAACUGUGUUCAACAAAUGAAAUUUAGUUUCAAUGUAGAGAGUUGAGCAAUGCCAUAUAUCUUGAGAAGGCCAAGUAUUGGGACACUUCAAAGCUUCAAGUCAUAUCCUUCUUCCUGAAGGCUUUAUUCAAAGAAGAGGUGCGUGCAGAUUCUUUAUAACAAGAAUGAUUCAGAGAAAUUGGCAAUGUUAGUUUUGAUAGAUAAUGCAUGGGAAUGCACUCCUUGUAUCAGACUGUAAUGGCAGAGCUUGAGAAGUUGGGUUAGAAAUAUCGUGUGGCUCUGAGGUUGUCCGUAUCAAAGGAGUUGCAGCUGUAGGAUGAAUAGUCUUGAUGUUUGUAUGUUGAUGGGUGCAACUGUAAAUUCUUAGUUAGUAUAUUUAUUGUAUGAUACAUUUUAAAAUAUAGUACAGGGUACAAUACAAGAAUGUAGAGGUGCCAAUUGGCACCUUAUUUUUUUAAUCCAACCUUAUAAAUUUGCCACUGAUAACAGUGGCAUUCCAAAGCCACUAAUAUCAGUGUGGAUUUAGAUUCUGACUUUGCAUUGGAUGAAGU